GCGCCGCCGGCAGAAGGUAUGGAGGCCAUGGAGGCGGUCGCCACCUGAUGGUGGGCGCUGGUCGGUCUCAAAGGAAAAAACAUAUCAUACAAAUAAUAUUACAUAUUUGCCGGGCGCCCUUCCCCAUGUUGUGCCUUGAGGUAACGAACAAAGAAAGGAAAAAAAUACACUUUGCACCCCUCACAAUUCAUCUUGAUGCUGAGUUUGCGCACUGAAAGUGUACGUGCGUGCGUGCGUGCGUGCGUGCGUGAAAAAAAACAGCGACCCCCAGUCUCAUUUGAAGUGCAGAGACCUCGAGCGCCGAGACAGCAGAGCCGCAAGAGAAGCGCUCUGCAACAGACGGGGAAUGACGUCACGGGAAGGAGCCGCUCACCCCGCCUCUGCAAGAAAGAGGAAGUUUGACGUAAAAACGAAAGUAGAUUGACAUUGGUUCAUAUUGCAUCCGAACGACCUCACGGAGCGUAGGCCUACGUGAAGUCGAAAGGCGAAAAUAUGGCAGGAUUUGGAAGUGAAUAUAUGCAGGGGGAGACCGGGAGUGGGUCUGGGCAGCCGUCCUCACCUCCGUCACUCGAAAAGGAGAGUGGCGAAUUCUACAUGGAACUUGGAAGGAUUCGCUCUGAAUUAAUCGAGAGGUUGUCGGACGACGAUGUCAUCGGUCUCCUGUAUUACCUUCGGAAGAUGGAUGUGUUGAAUGACCAGGAGAAGAAGACUGUAGAGGGGAAGAUGACCAGUAAAGACAGAGCACGUUGUCUCAUUGAUACGGUGAUGAGGAAAGGGGAGAGAAAAAGUAGGCUGAUGGUUGAUUAUCUGAAGGAGGGGCACCCUGAACUAUGGCCGACCCUGGGUCUG